rnacentral:rRNA from 3 species
AAAUUGAAGAGUUUGAUCAUGGCUCAGAUUGAACGCUGGCGGCAGGCCUAACACAUGCAAGUCGAACGGUAACAGGAAGCAGCUUGCUGCUUCGCUGACGAGUGGCGGACGGGUGAGUAAUGUCUGGGAAACUGCCUGAUGGAGGGGGAUAACUACUGGAAACGGUGGCUAAUACCGCAUAACGUCGCAAGACCAAAGAGGGGGACCUUCGGGCCUCUUGCCAUCAGAUGUGCCCAGAUGGGAUUAGCUAGU